GUCAAUCUGCCUCUAUCCAUGGCAGCCCUUCUUAUUUUAAUGUUCUCACUCUUACCCACAAACUAAAUUUACAUUUCUUGCUGUUAUAAAUUUUAUAUUUUUGUGUGUGGAGAAACAUUCCAUCAAGAAGACUGAAGCCCAGUAAACUCCCAAAGACAAGACUUUCAGAAGGCUGCUUGCUUCACUAUGGGUCCUAAGGUUACACAGGAAGGCUUCUGCCAGACACUUUCUGCCAGGUUUCCAAUGGCAGGUAUGGUCAAGAGAGACACUGGAAGAUGGAAGUUACUUCAGUGUUCCAGUUGCUGGUGUAGCCAGGGCUUCACAGCGUGGAAGUAUGGCAUCAUGAUGUCUACUGCACAUCUAUUCCCAACCCCAUAUUCAGUUGUUUCAUGUAGUCUCUUGAAAUCUAUGGAAACUAGAAAACACUACAAAUAAAGCCUUGAUUUAU
rnacentral:lncRNA from 1 species